GGUUCGUGGUUGGGGGACACACUAGCGCCCAAGUCCGUCGGUAGUGCGACUCGUGCAGUAGUAGAGCGUUGGAGUGGAACAAUGCCUGCUCUGUGCUGCCAUUGCUCGUCGGCCCCAGGAUGCUCCGCGACCGCACUACCCAGUUCAGGGACAGCCAAGGGGCGCUGCUCCUCGUCGUGUUACAAAAAAAUUGAUUUGUUCCAGACUUCCAGGUCAAUGUUAUUGGCACUGAACCUAGCUAACUACUAGUACGUAGCAAGCUAGUUUUGCUAUGAGUAAUAACACAAUGCACAUAGUAUUCCGUCAUCCAUUCAAUAUACAAGGUGGAAAAAUGAUGAUGGUUUAGAACAUGCGGUUCAAUAGAUGUAGCAGGAUUAUUUAUGCAUGGCCUUCACCUUUGUAUGUUGCUCCUUCAAAUUUUACUGCUGUAGCAAUUUGAUUAUUUGUAAUUUAAGUUACUUAUCUCAUUUCUUUGAUGUUGUAGAUAAACUGAUAUGCAUGGCUCAGAUGCUGAUUGCAAGGUCGAGAAUGAAGCUGCUACUAGAUAGUUCCACAUAAUUUUUUAGAU